rnacentral:rRNA from 1 species
AGCAGCCGCGGUAAUUCCAGCUCCAAUAGCGUAUAUUAAAGUUGUUGCAGUUAAAAAGCUCGUAGUUGAAUUUCGGGGUCAGUAGGUCGGUCGUGCCACUGGUAUGAACUGGUUUUACUGAUUCCUCCCUCUUGAAGAACUGUAAUGCCAUUAAUUUGGUGUUGCAGGGAGUCAGGACUGUUACUUUGAAAAAAUUAGAGUGUUUAAAGCAGGCUUUAGCUUGAAUACAUUAGCAUGGAAUAAUGAAAUAGGACGUUUGAUCCUAUUUUGUUGGUUUCUAGGAUUGACGUAAUGAUUAAUAGGGAUAGUUGGGGGCAUUAGUAUUCAAUUGUCAGAGGUGAAAUUCUUGGAUUUAUUGAAGACUAACUACUGCGAAAGCAUUUGCCAAGGAUGUUUUCAUUGAUCAAGAACGAAAGUUAGGGGAUCGAAGACGAUCAGAUACCGUCGUAGUCUUAACCAUAAACUAUGCC